UAUCUCAGAUAAAUGCUGAAGAGUUGGAAGAUAAUUAGUAUUUAACCAAUUAAGACAGUUACAAGUUCAGGAACACAGCUCUUGGAUGUUUUUUCCCUGGUAAAUUCAGAGGGAAUGCAGUAAUUUAACGGCGUUUUCAGAACUAAGUGGAAGAGAUGGUCAAAGAGAAUUUUUUAUUUUAACAGCAGCUGCGGGAUUUCACCUUUCCCUCCCAGCUGCCUCCCAAGCCACCUCCAGCUUCUCAUUAGACAUUGUUAGAUUACAGUUGUUGGAUUACGGUCUGACCUCAGAUUGCAGCCACGUCCCAGUGGAGCAUCCCCAGAACUGCCGUGGUGCCUGGCGUUGGGUCCUUCACAAUAACAUUUAAGCAGUGCUUGCCUUUCUGGUUAGCAAAUCAUUCCCGAGUGUCUGAGGGGGGAAAAAUCCACCUUAGUGCCUGAGCAAUCUUGCUUAUGUGCCUGCAGGCAGGGCUCCUGGGCUAUGAGAGGUCUAAAAUAGGCUAACAUUUGUGCUGAUUACCAAUUAAUGUGCUUAUUGCUCCUAUUUUUUUAAUGUAAAUUACAUCAAUUUCAAGUGAAUGUUAACCUCCUUAUCUAGCAGUCAUUUCUUGCCAUUGGCACAGCUGCUAACCAUGGGGGUUACCUGGAUGGUGUCUCUUUGAGAUGUGAGGGAGUGAUGAAAUGACAAUUGGAGCAACCCUUGGAGGACCCUGGUGGGCCUGCCUCAGUGCAGCCCGGGCCCUGCCUUACCUCGGAUUGGUGCCGGAGAAGAGGAAUUAACCCUGCUUAGAAAUGAGCCUGGGGAAAAUUUAACAACCAUAUUUAUGAAAAUAUAAACAUUUAUUUAAAAACGUAUCCUGGAAUGAAUGGCCCAAGAGAAGUUGUAGGUGAGUUCAUGGCCAAAUCCAUCAAACUGCUCUCGCUGUGCUUCCACGUCCAUAGCAGUCCUGGAGGAAGGACUGCACGCCGACCCUAGGGUGGGGGCUUUGCUUUACCUCUUGGUUAAUUGCCUUGGUUCUGCAGAAACUGCAUCGGUUUCUCUCUCACGAGAGCAAACUGCUCUUUCAUCUGCUCUUCCACUUGCCGUAAACUCCUUUUGUACAAGCGAGCUGAGAGAGACUGCUCUAAUUAAGAUAUGCCAGAGCAAAGUUAAUUUUCAGAGUUUCCUCCAGAUGCCAACGGGAACACAGUGCAAUCACUCUAUAGCUAAGGUAAUUGGCUUCUGCUUCAUGCGAUGCUUGCUUACAAACAGCCAGUCAAAUGCACCAAUACAGCAGUGAGCAAACUGGUCACAGAUAUUACCAAUAAUUCUUGAAUUAAAUAAUGCUGAGUCUGUUAAUGCCUACAGUCCUGUUGCUGUGGCUAAGAGGAAAGGAGAUGCUGAUUUUACUGUUUUUUCUCAGUGGGAUGAACAGGCUGUAAAUGACUUGUGAAUUUGAAAAAACAAGGUGUUCAGCAUGUUCUUCUACUCCUUCAA